GUUUACUUACAGUAGGUAUUCUGAGAUAUCACUAAUAAUACCUUAUCUUCUUUGAACAGGUAAAUACCCUGUUUGAACACAUUGUCAAAAGAAACUGCUAGAGACUUCAAAGAACUUGUUAUAGGCCUUCUGGUAUGGAAUGAAAAAGGAAGAAAAGAAAGAAGGCCUAUCUUUAUGAGUCAGAGGAUGCCAAUGACCAGCCAUGAGAAAAAGAAAUGCAAUCACUGCAUGAGUUGAGAAGAUAUAUCCACUACCAACAGAGAGAAAAUAAAUCUGUGCAUUAACAAAGAAUUUUUUUUUUU
rnacentral:lncRNA from 1 species